rnacentral:rRNA from 1 species
CGAUCUGUAGCUGGUCUGAGAGGACGACCAGCCACACUGGGACUGGGACACGGCCCAGACUCCUACGGGAGGCAGCAGUGGGGAAUUUUGGACAAUGGGGGCAACCCUGAUCCAGCCAUGCCGCGUGCGGGAAGAAGGCCUUCGGGUUGUAAACCGCUUUUGUCAGGGAAGAAAUCUUUUGGGCUAAUACCCCAGAGGGAUGACGGUACCUGAAGAAUAAGCACCGGCUAACUACGUGCCAGCAGCCGCGGUAAUACGUAGGCAGCAAGCGUUGUUCGGAGUUACUGGGCGUAAAGGGUGUGUAGGCGGUUCCUUAAGUUUGGUGUGAAAUCUCCCGGCUCAACCGGGAGGGUGCGCCGAAUACUGAGGAGCUAGAGUGCGGGAGAGGAGAGUGGAAUUCCUGGUGUAGCGGUGAAAUGCGUAGAUAUCAGGAGGAACACCGGUGGUGCAAACGGCUCUCUGGACCGUAACUGACGCUGAAACACGAAAGCGUGGGUAGCAAACAGGAUUAGAUACCCUGGUAGUCCACGCCCUAAACGAUGCAUAUUUGGUGUGGGUCAUUCAGUUGAUCCGUGCCGGAGCUAACGCGUUAAAUAUGCCGCCUGGGGAGUACAGUCGCAAGGCUGAAACUCAAAGGAAUUGACGGGGGCCCGCACAAGCGGUGGAGCAUGUGGUUCAAUUCGACGCAACGCGAAGAACCUUACCUGGGCUCGAACGGCUGGUCAACGACCUUGGAAACAGGGUUACUCCGCAAGGGGGUCCAGUCGAGGUGCUGCAUGGCUGUCGUCAGCUCGUGUCGUGAGAUGUUGGGUUAAGUCCCGCAACGAGCGCAACCCUCGUCCUGUGUUGCCAUGGCGCAAGCCAGAACUCGCAGGAGACCGCCAGCGAUAAGUUGGAGGAAGGUGGGGAUGACGUCAAGUCCUCAUGGCCUUUAUGUCCAGGGCUACACACGUGCUACAAUGGCCGGUACAAUACGCUGCUAACCUGCGAAGGGGAGCCAAUCGCCAAAAACCGGUCUCAGUUCGGAUUGCAGGCUGCAACUCGCCUGCAUGAAGCUGGAAUCGCUAGUAAUGGCAGAUCAGCACGCUGCCGUGAAUGCGUUCCCGGGCCUUGUACACACCGCCCGUCACAUCACGAAAGUGGAUUGUACUAGAAGUCUGCAGGCCGACCCGCAAGGGGGGCAGCGGCCCAAGGUAUGAUCCAUGAUUGGGGUGAAGUAGUAACAAGGUA